UAACACGUAUCCAACCUGCCCUUUACUCGGNNAUAGCCUUUCGAAAGAAAGAUUAAUACCCGAUAGUAUAAUGAUUCCGCAUGGUUUCAUUAUUAAAGGAUUCCGGUAAAGGAUGGGGAUGCGUUCCAUUAGGUUGUUGGUGAGGUAACGGCCCACCAAGCCUUCGAUGGAUAGGGGUUCUGAGAGGAAGGUCCCCCACAUUGGAACUGAGACACGGUCCAAACUCCUACGGGAGGCAGCAGUGAGGAAUAUUGGUCAAUGGGCGCUAGCCUGAACCAGCCAAGUAGCGUGAAGGAUGAAGGCUCUAUGGGUCGUAAACUUCUUUUAUAUAAGAAUAAAGUGCAGUAUGUAUACUGUUUUGUAUGUAUUAUAUGAAUAAGGAUCGGCUAACUCCGUGCCAGCAGCCGCGGUAAUACGGAGGAUCCGAGCGUUAUCCGGAUUUAUUGGGUUUAAAGGGAGCGUAGGUGGACUGGUAAGUCAGUUGUGAAAGUUUGCGGCUCAACCGUAAAAUUGCAGUUGAUACUGUCAGUCUUGAGUACAGUAGAGGUGGGCGGAAUUCGUGGUGUAGCGGUGAAAUGCUUAGAUAUCACGAAGAACUCCGAUUGCGAAGGCAGCUCACUGGACUGCAACUGACACUGAUGCUCGAAAGUGUGGGUAUCAAACAGGAUUAGAUACCCUGGUAGUCCACACAGUAAACGAUGAAUACUCGCUGU
rnacentral:rRNA from 1 species